AUGGAACGACCUUUUUCCAAGCCUUCCCUUGACCUUCUGUGGUCCAGGGUGUGGGGUGCAGACAGGGAAGAGGAGGAGACGGGGGGCCGGCCAGGGGGGAGGGGCCGGGAGUCUGGGUCUGAGCUGCCUCGCUCUGGUCCCGUUUCCCAGCCACAAACUGCACCCUGGCCCGGGCCCUACAUGCUGGGAGACUGCGAGACAGGUCAGUGCCCCUUACAUCCCCACCGUGGGCAACCCUUUCUCUGACUGCGCCCCAGAGGGAGCACGGGCCCCCACCUUUUUAAUAAUUCAGUC
rnacentral:lncRNA from 1 species